UGGUGACAUGAGGACAGGUGUUGAUGU
rnacentral:piRNA from 1 species